rfam:Myotis davidii contig155466, whole genome shotgun sequence.
GGUGGUUCUCAGGUGACACACCCGGAAACAGGCAUUCUCCUGUCUGGUUCCGGUGCAUCACCUGAGAACCACA